GGGAGGGGGUUAAAAUCUCUUACAUAGUUGUGGAUUUGUACUUUUGUCCCGUAAGUGCCCAGUUUUGCUUUGUAUAUCCUGAGACUCUUCUUCAGACUCUUCUGGCAGGUGCUCACACGUUUAACACGGUUGCCCGUCUCGGGGAAACCAAAUGUUUCUCGUCACUGUGAAGUGUCCUCUUCUCAGCUGGUUUUUCCACUUUGAAGUCGGCUUUGGGAUGCAUGCCUCUCUCUAUUAUGGAUGUUCUCAAACACACCAACAUGAAAUUAAAGCAGUAAUGGAUUACCUAUCGCUCCCACCAACUUCAGUUUUAUCAAACUAGAGCCGAUCAUAUCUAAUCCCUCUAAAUGGUGAGGACUUUAAAGAAAGACAACUCUGAUGUUACUAUUUUCAUAAAACAAUGAAUAAUUACUUCUUAAUAUUAUUAAAUUUCCAUCUGCUUUUUUCA